UUUAGUUUUUCGGGCUCUAUAAAUAGCCAAAUGCUAAAUGGGCCACUAAAUCAAUAAAAACACAAACGAAAUCAAAAGUUCAACAGUACGUGACACACUUCAGAUCAGUCGAAGCUACAGCUACAGCAACAGCUACAAAUGCACAUGCGGAUACAGAUACAAAAGCAUCUUUGGGAUGUGUUCCGCUUGUGGGGGAGGCGGGCGUUGAACAGCGCUGCGAACAUAAAAAUUACAAGCAGAUACUCGGAACGGGGCAUACCAAAAAUUAAUGGCAACAACGCGUCGCAAACACGACAAAAAAAUUUGUUUCUCUCUGUGUGUAUCUGACGGUUCUCACCGCUUUCUGGCCAGGCCCAUUGUCAAAUGGAAAAGCAUUAGCCAGCCAUAUGGAGCACGGGGGAAAAUUAAUGAUGUAACUUGGCGCUGCGGAAGUGUGUCAUGGAUUUUAAGUAGAAGAUGCCGCUACCUCCAAAAUGUUUUCAAAAUGCCGUUCAAAGCGCCUUCCAUCGCCGCCGAGUUGCCUUUUAAUCAAAUGAUAUACAUACGGACAUAUAGCUGAGUAUCUAUAGCCUGUGACGUGCUUUGCCAACUGAUAAGCGAUAAGCUUUGCCUGCGAAACGUAACCAGAUUUGCAAACCCAUUGUGGAAAUAGAGGAAAACUCUUUGUAUCCAUGCAGUGGCUAGAGAUACUAUAGCCCCAUUUAGCUGAUCAUCAAUCGAAAUACAUUAUGGCGAGGUAUUCCAAAAAAAAAAAACAAAAAUGGGAUCACAUUCUAUAUAUGCAACUCUUAAGUAUUCGUAU